UCGGCCUGCUCGGUAUCAGCUAGUUGGUAAGGUAAUGGCUUACCAAGGCAAUGACGCCUAGGGGACCUGAGAGGGUGACCCCCACCGAUGGAACUGAGAUACGGUCCAUACACCUACGGGUGGCUGCAGUCGAGAAUCUUCCGCAAUGGACGAAAGUCUGACGGAGCGACGCCGCGUGAUGGAUGAAGUCCCUCUGGGACGUAAACAUCUUUUAUGAGGGAGAAAGUUUAUUGAUAGUACCUCACGAAUAAGGGGUUGCUAAACUCGUGCCAGCAGCAGCGGUAAUACGAGUGCCCCAAGCGUUAUCCGGAAUUAUUGGGCGUAAAGGGUGUGUAGGUGGCGUGAUUAGUCGUUUGUUAAAUAUCCGAGCUUAACUUGGAAAAUGCGAGCGAAACGGUCAUGCUUGAGUAUGUGAGAGGUGUGCAGAACUCAUGGUGUAGGGGUGAAAUCCGUUGAUAUCAUGGGGAAUACCAAAAGCGAAGGCAGCACACUGGCACAUUACUGACACUGAAACACGAAAGCGUGGGUAGCGAAUGGGAUUAGAUACCCCAGUAGUCCACGCCCUAAACGAUGACAACUAGCUUUUCGGAGUAUCGACCCUCUGAGAGGCGAAGCUAACGCGUUAAGUGAAGCGCCUGGGAAGUACGGCCGCAAGGCUAAAACUCAAAGGAAUAGACGGGGACUUGCACAAGCGGUGGAUUAUGUGGUUUAAUUCGAUGGUAAACGAAGAACCUUACCAGGGCUUGACAUCCCGAGAAUUACUGCGAAAGCAGUGAGUGCCUUAGGGAACUCGGUGACAGGUGCUGCAUGGCCGUCGUCAGCUCGUGUCGUGAGAUGUUUGGUUAAGUCCAUCAACGAGCGCAACCCCUAUGAAUAGUUGAAUUUUUCUAUUCAGACUGCCCCGGUAACGGGGAGGAAG
rnacentral:rRNA from 1 species